GCCUGAGUGGUCCAGGGGUACGAUUCGUCGUUCGGGUUUAUAAAAUCUGGCCUCGACGAGACCCGCGUUCGAAUCGCGGCUCAGGCC